GCCUCUUAGGAGGGAUGGCUUCCAGGGACUGCGAGUCCCAACGUCUACAACGGUGUAAUGUGGUCAUCCAGCACAUUGCUGAGCUUAUUUCUUGGCACAGACAAAAACUGAACAUCUGGACAAGACAAAAGAAAGGACCUAUUCUUGUUCUGGGUCUGGGCAGGAAAGAAAGAGGAAGGUGUCCUGGCUAGCUGGGAUAUGGUCCUGCCUUAAUUGUCCUAGCUACCUGUCCCUUUGGAUUCCUUUUACCUACCCAGGUUAGACACAGCAGCCCAUGGAGUACUCGGCCUAUGGUGUGUUUACCCAAGGUGACCCCAGUGACGUUCCUCUUAGCCUGUAGAAGCAGAGGGUGGUCGAGAGCCACAGUGCUGAAGGAGAGCGAGAGGGAUGUAUGCCAAGACUGUGGCUUCUGAUUCAUGGAAGGCAUUGUGAGGAGAGGUGGCAGGAAGGCAUGGGGCAAGUAUCUGAACAGGACCUGUAGGAAAAGGGAAGGACCCAGCAGCCCUUAUAAAGUUUCCAAACAGCCUGUUGGGUGGACCCCAGAAGGAUAAAGUGGUUGGCUAUGUCCUCUUUCCAUGAGGCACAGUCUUUUUUAGCCUGGUGCUGGGAAUGGAACUCAUGUCCUUCUUAAGACCAGUAGGAAUGCUUGUUUGUUUGUUUUUCUCUGUAUAACCCUGGAUGUCCUGGAACUCACUCUGUAGAUCAGGCUGCCUUCUAACUCAUAGAGAUCCACCUGCUUCUGCCUCCAGAGUGCUGGGAUUAAAGAUAUGCACCGUCACUGCCUAGUCACCAGUGGGAAUGCCUAACUCUGAGCCAUCCCUCCAGUCCCUCAGAGGUUUCUUAACAACCUUUUGGGGAUGGUAAGAUUUUCCUUCAGGGAAAAGGAGAUGCCAAAAGGGAGGUCACCUAUUAAACCGAUUUAAAAUGUGGUAGUUCAGUGUGGCAGGUGACAGGGGCAGAAGUUAGAGAGGCAGGUUUGAAGAAGAUUGUCCAGAGAGACUGUUUCCGAAACAGCUGCUGCCAGGACAUGUACCGCGGUGCUCCUGCUGACCUGAAGUUGGCUACAGUACCACGUGGAGCUGAGGCCUCUCAGUAGCACCUCGGAUAAGAUUUUCUUUGGGGAGCGGAUGAAGGAAAGGGGGCAGCAUUCCAUAUUUGGGUUAAGUGAGGACAGAGAACAGCUGCAGAGAGUGGGAAGCCAGGAAGACACAGGAAGGGGAAGGAGAAGCAAACUUGAGCGUGAACCAGGAAACUUACCACAGGGCAGGGGGAGGGCUUUGGAACGCGCACAGUAUACAGGAGGAAUACUUGCCAGAGGAAGAAUGAUCUGGCCGUCUGGGGGACGUGAGGAUGCAAAGACAGCAGAUCAGUGAGCUGCAGGUGUGCAGAAGGGAGGAAGAAAAACCUCCAGGUCCGCCCACCAGGAAGACAGCAGAAAAACCUCCAGGUCCGCCCACCGCGAAGACAGCAACUCGGUGCCAGAGGAAGCCAGAAGACGGUGCCAGAUUCUCUGGAACUGGAGUGACAGAUGGUUGUGAACUGCCUACUGUGUGUGCUGGGAACUGAAUCUGGGUUCACUGCAAGAACAUGAAGUGCUCUUAGCCACUGAGCCACCUCUCCAGCCCCUCUUUGUAAAUUUUCUAUUAAGGACUUUUAAGUUAUAACCAUCAGUGACAUUGAUAUGAUUUGCUUUUUUGUGUAGAGUAUCACUGAAGUUUGAUAUAACGCAGAAAGAAUUUGGAGGCUCCCCCAUCCCUGCUCGGAUGUGCUGCCUAAGGGCUUGCUAGCCUCCCCCACUACAGCUCCAGCGCCUACUGCCCAGUGGGUACUGGAGCUAUCUGAACCUUCUCUAUUUCUUCCACAGAGAUCGGCUGCCAUCACUCCUCUUGAGACCUCUUUUGCUAUUUAGAAACCUUGGCUUUUUCUUCCUGUCUCAUGAUAACCUAUGGUUUUCUUAACUCCCUAUUUAUAUUGUAUAGUAUUUAUGGCUUUCUUAAUAAGAGGUCAAUAAAAGUGCUUAUAUCUUAA